rnacentral:lncRNA from 1 species
CUCCCCCCCAGGAGGCCCAAGGCAUACAGUAGGUGCCUACUGAAGAAGGAAUGAUGGCUAAAGAGCAGCUGUCACCUCCUCAGACAGGGGCUCAGGAGUAGUCCCUGUCCCUCAGCCUCCUCUUUCCUCUGAUGGAUCCUUCUAGAACCUUCUCCCAGCCUCCUCUCUCCUCUGAUGGAUCCUUCUAGAACCUUCUCCCAGCCUCCUCUCUCCUCUGAUGGAUCCUUCUAGAACCCCACGGCUGGCUCCCUGCUCCCUUGCUACCCCGAGCCAAGUCCAUGGUCUCCCCAGUGCCAGCCUGCCCCUGUGGCCUGUCCUUCCCACAGUCCUGGGGGCCCUACGGAGGUCACCACCCGCUCCUGCUCCCGUGGUCUCCUGGCCGUCUGGAGACAGGGCCUGGCACAUAGUAGGUGCCCCAGAAAGAUCUGCUGAGGGCAGACACCAGGCCCUUCCUGCCAUCAGAAUCUCGGGGAGCCCUGUGGGGCCCCUGCAGGCCUCUGCACCUGACUUCCCGGGAUUCUUCCGGAGGCUCCUUGAUGGGGAGGGAGGCGGGGUGUCAGGCCACCAGGAUGCAGCUCAAGACUCAGCGCCCUCACUGUUGACUUG